CUGGAGGUAUCAGAAGUGCGAAUGCUGACAUAAGUAACGAUAAAGCGGGUGAAAAGCCCGCUCGCCGGAAGACCAAGGGUUCCUGUCCAACGUUAAUCGGGGCAGGGUGAGUCGACCCCUAAGGCGAGGCCGAAAGGCGUAGUCGAUGGGAAACGGGUUAAUAUUCCCGUACUUGGUGUUACUGCGAAGGGGGGACGGAGAAGGCUAUGUUGGCCGGGCGACGGUUGUCCCGGUUUAAGCGUGUAGGUGUGUGUUCCAGGUAAAUCCGGUUCACUUUAACACUGAGGCGUGACGACGAGGCACUACGGUGCUGAAGCAACAAAUGCCCUGCUUCCAGGAAAAGCCUCUAAGCAUCAGGUAACAU
rnacentral:rRNA from 3 species